rnacentral:rRNA from 1 species
AAUACGGAGGGUGCAAGCGUUGCUCGGAAUCAUUGGGCGUAAAGCGUACGCAGGCUGUUCGUUAAGUCGGGUGUGAAAGCCCGGGGCUCAACCCCGGAACUGCGCCCGAAACUGGCGAGCUUGAAUGCGGGAGAGGGAAGCGGAAUUCCUGGUGUAGAGGUGAAAUUCGUAGAUAUCAGGAGGAACACCGGUGGCGAAAGCGGCUUCCUGGCCCGACAUUGACGCUCAUGUACGAAAGCGUGGGGAGCAAACAGGA